AGACCAACGAACGAUGUGAUUGGGCUUCGAACCACUUAUGCUCAGGAAAGUCCCCGGGCCCAUUACCGCAGAGAUGCGGGCCUGGAAACAGGUUAUUCUUCGGAGCAAAUGAAUCAGGUUGGGCCAGAAAUGGUUUGACGGGCUGAGACCAGUGUGGAGCCUUAUGGGUUCUUGCUCGAAGUUAAUUUGGCCGAUGUCACAGUCAUUCACAUGGUCCUUUGUGACUAACUGAACGGGGCUUAUGAUUCGUUGGUC
rnacentral:RNase_MRP_RNA from 1 species